rnacentral:sRNA from 1 species
AUACGUGAUGAAUUCGGCAGGAGUUGAUCGGUGAAAGAACUUAGCCCUACCUGAUA